rnacentral:rRNA from 1 species
UACAGAGGUCUCAAGCGUUGUUCGGAUUCAUUGGGCGUAAAGGGCGCGUAGGCGGGUGCUCAAGUCCGGGGUGAAAUCCCACAGCUCAACUGUGGAACUGCCUCGGAUACUGGGUGUCUCGAGGGUGGCAGGGGUAUGCGGAACUAUCGGUGGAGCGGUGAAAUGCGUAGAUAUCGGAAGGAACACCGGUGGCGAAAGCGGCACGCUGGACCUCUUCUGACGCUGAGGCGCGAAAGCCAGGGGAGCAAACGGG